rnacentral:lncRNA from 10 species
GGACAGCUCUGUGGCCUAAGGCUAGAUUGGCACAAUGAUGGAAUGGUUUUCAAGAGGCCAAGUAGGACCAGCUGUGGGUUUAUCCCAUUUUACCUAAGGAUUUUACACAAUACAUUGAGUGCAGGAAUGGCACGCAAUGAUUGCACUCAGUAAUAUACCAAACCACUCCUGGCUUUGUUUAGACCCUAGACUUGGGCCCUCAUCCUUCUCGUAGACCUCUUGCGAGGAUUUUCCCCUUUUACAGAUUCACACUCAGUCCCGAACAGAAACACUUGAGCACCUACAAUCUCACAGCCAACUCCCUGCCAACGUCCAGUGACUCACAGUUAAGAGAGCUUCAGCAGCAGCUCUGACCAAAGUGAUGACCAACUACUUAACAUGAAUUAGAAACAGAGCAGAAAAAACACGCCUUUAGCCUGCUCUGCGUAAAGAACCAAGUCUCCACCAUGAACACCAAGCCACCAACUCCCCGUCCCUCAGUAGUCCUGUGUACUCCCAAAGCCCCAAAAUUUACCCCAGCCUCAAGCAGCCUUGUUUAAAAAAUUAAGGAAGGGCCUGUGAUAAGCACUGCAAGUUAAACAGAAACAGGGGACUUAAGUGCAGAGUUUGUCACUCUAUUUCUGGGAGGGGAUGGGCUGCACAGUGUGCAAUGGGGCUGGCUGGUAAAGGGAGGACCAGGUGACAGCCAGCCACACUGUCUCAAGGAUGAACCUGGCCCUGCUAGCAUUAUGCUGUAAUCCCUGUGGAUUAGAACUAUGGAUAAUAGGGCCGGGAGCAGUGGCUCAUGCCUGCAAUCCCAGCACUUUGGGAGGCUGGACGGGCAGACAGCCUGAGGUCGGCAGUUCGAGACCUCAGUCUGGCCAGCAUGGUGAAACCCCGUAUCUACUAAAAAUACAAAACACUAGCCAGGUGUGGUGGGAGCCUGUAAUCCCAGUUACACAGGAGGCUGAGGCAGGAGAAUCGCUUGAACCCGGGAGGUGGAGGUUGCAGUGAGCUAAGAUCGCACCACUGCACUCCAGCCUGGGCAACAGAGCGCAAGACUCCAUCUCAAAAACAAAACAAAACAAAAAACCCCCCAAAAACUAUGGAUAAUAAAGCAUGACAGACCUCAAGAUGCCAAAUGAUUUUCUCCUCUGCUGUCAUGCCUACAGAGUAACUUCUCCAAGGUCACACAUUAAAUAUGGGCACAGGAACACUCAUUCCUUAUGCUCAAUGACUUUUUCUCACUCCUACAUGCUAUCAACAUAAGGAGGAGUGCCCCAGGGGGCUGACCUUAGCGGGAGGAACGACAGGCUCUCCACCGAUCCCAUUCUUACCCUGGACCAGGUCUCACCUGCGGCUUGGGGAAGUCACAGAAAGACAAGUUUCGUACAACCCCAGACCUUUUCUUUUGGUAGUCAACAAUUGGUCACAUUGCACA